GAAUGUGAUGAACUAGCUCAGCAUGCUGAGGCUUUGAAAGAAGAAAAUGCUUCUCUCCGUUCAGAAUUGAGCCGGAUCAGCAUGGAUUAUGAACAACUAAUCUUUGAGAAUGCAGCCCUCAAGGAGCAACUUGGAGAAGUACCUGAGAACGAGAAUCUUAGGUCCAGCCGGGAUGAUCAGCAUGUGGGUAAUGAGUAAUGAGACUCUGUAGAGGGUACCGACGCAUUAGGAUCUAACAUCUUGCUCCAUGCUGCUUUACAGGAAGAUAACCUUGCCAAAUACAAGGUCAAAUUCUUGUUUGUAUUAUGAAGGUGAUCAUUUAUAGUAUUACAAUCUAUUAAAGAGAUACUACUAUUGCUAAUAAUUAUACUUCCAAGUAUUUAACCUCAAGUAAAUUCAAUUAGUUUUUGGUAAAGAGAUAACAUAUAACCACAAGCAAACUAUUAUGACAAACUAGCAUAAUUAUAUGACUAGGAAGCCACCUUCUAUGAAAGAUUCUUCUCAAAUCAUAUAACAUGAGUGUCUAAACUGAAGCUUUAUUCCUGUGAUAGAUGGUUACAUUGUGCUAACAUGAGUGUCUAAACUGAAGCUUUAAUCCUGUCAUAGAUGGUUACAUUGUGCUAAUCUCCUAAAGAAGGAAAACCAUAAAAAGUCUAAUAGCUAAUCUUUUUUUGCUAGCUGGAACAUUGCUUUUGGCUCUUUUCUUUCCUGAGAGAAAAUUGGAGCAUUCCUCUCCCUCCAUGUGUACUCAGAAACAAUGGAGCAACCCCAAGCAACAUGUUAAAGCUAUUUCCUUCUUCUCACACUAAGCAUAGCCAAUCCCUCCAUGAAUACCAUCUUUACUUCCAAUUGGCAAUGCCAAGUCAAGAACACAGUUGAGUGAGAAACUCCAUGGACCAAUGACAGCAAAGAACAAAUGAGUAGAUUCUAUAGCAUUUUCAGGAUCAUUAACUGGAAUAUUCAUCAUUAACAAUAUGUCCCUAGUGAGUAAAUUCUUCUGAAGGGUCAACCAGAAAAAUAAAUCUAUGCUCUGGGACACUGCUUUUGCUCCAAGUGUUCCAUGAGAAUCUGUCAUUUGCUUGUUGGAAUCUGUCAUUUGCUUGGUGGAAUCCGUCAUUUGCUUCAUCGCCACUAAGCCACUUGUAUCCAUCCCUUAUGUUAUAGAUUCCUGAUAUAUUCUUCUUCCAAUUUUCUUUUCAAUAAUUCUCCCAGAGAAAUUCUCCACAUUUCCUCUCAAUUUUCUUGAGCAACUUUUAGGAAUCAGGAAUAUCUUUGCCCAAGAUUCAAGUAAAGGCAUAAGCAUCUGCCCAUGUAGGAUACAUGUCUAGUUUUCUAUGUAUUCAUUCUAUCUGUUACCUUCUGUACCAAAGCAUCACAGUCACUAUUUGACCAUACAUGUGGAGAAAUUGGCACUCCUAAGUAUUUCAUAGGAAAACCUGCACAUUGAAAACCAGUUUCAUGUAAAAUGCUUGUUCUGAUCUCUUUUUAACUCCAGCAAGGUAAAUACCAUUGCGACACGAAUUGCAACUGUUGCAGUGUGAAUUUUUGUGUGAUUAAAACAGUAUUUUUGAAUUUGAUGCGGCCAGACGUGUCCCGAUGCUGUUGUGUUG